rnacentral:rRNA from 1 species
UACAGAGGUCCCAAGCGUUGUUCGGAUUCACUGGGCGUAAAGGGUGCGUAGGUGGCCAGGUAAGUUUGGUGUGAAAGCUCGGAGCUUAACUCCGAAAAGUCAUUGAAUACUAUCUGGCUGGAGGGUCGGAGGGGAGACUGGAAUUCCCAGUGUAGUGGUGAAAUACGUAGAGAUUGGGAAGAACACCAGUGGCGAAGGCGGCUAUCUGGACGGUUUCUGACACUAAGACUCGAAAGCGUGGGGAGCAAACAGG